GACGAACGCUGGCGGCGUGCUUAACACAUGCAAGUCGAACGGAAAGGCCCUGCUUUUGUGGGGUGCUCGAGUGGCGAACGGGUGAGUAACACGUGAGUAACCUGCCCUUGACUUUGGGAUAACUUCAGGAAACUGGGGCUAAUACCGGAUAGGAGCUCCUGCUGCAUGGUGGGGGCUGGAAAGUUUCGGCGGUUGGGGAUGGACUCGCGGCUUAUCAGCUUGUUGGUGGGGUAGUGGCUUACCAAGGCUUUGACGGGUAGCCGGCCUGGGAGGGUGACCGGCCACAUUGGGACUGAGGUACGGCCCAGACUCCUACGGGAGGCAGCAGUGGGGAAUAUUGCACAAUGGGCGGAAGCCUGAUGCAGCAACGCCGCGUGCGGGAUGACGGCCUUCGGGUUGUAAACCGCUUUCGCCUGUGACGAAGCGUGAGUGACGGUAAUGGGUAAAGAAGCACCGGCUAACUACGUG
rnacentral:rRNA from 1 species